rnacentral:rRNA from 1 species
GGGAACCCUGACGGAGCAACGCCGCGUGCGGGAGGACGGCCUGUGGGUUGUAAACCGCUUUUCUCAGGGAAGAAGUUCUGACGGUACCUGAGGAAUCAGCAUCGGCUAACUCCGUGCCAGCAGCCGCGGUAAGACGGAGGAUGCAAGCGUUAUCCGGAAUUAUUGGGCGUAAAGCGUCCGUAGGCGGUCAUUUAAGUCUGCUGUCAAAGCCUGCAGCUCAACUGCAGAACGGCAGUGGAAACUGAAUGACUAGAGAGCGGUAGGGGUAGAGGGAAUUCCCAGUGUAGCGGUGAAAUGCGUAGAUAUUGGGAAGAACACCAGUGGCGAAGGCGCUCUACUGGACCGUGACUGACGCUGAGGGACGAAAGCUAGGGGAGCG